CCUACGGGAGGCAGCAGUGGGGAAUAUUGGACAAUGGGCGAAAGCCUGAUCCAGCCAUGCCGCGUGAGUGAUGAAGGCCUUAGGGUUGUAAAGCUCUUUCGCCAGGGACGAUAAUGACGGUACCUGGAUAAGAAGCCCCGGCUAACUUCGUGCCAGCAGCCGCGGUAAUACGAAGGGGGCUAGCGUUGUUCGGAAUUACUGGGCGUAAAGCGUAUGCAGGCGGACUUUUAAGUCGGGGGUGAAAUCCCGAGGCUCAACCUCGGAACUGCCUUCGAUACUGGAAGUCUUGAGUCCGGGAGAGGUGAGUGGAACUCCGAGUGUAGAGGUGAAAUUCGUAGAUAUUCGGAAGAACACCAGUGGCGAAGGCGGCUCACUGGCCCGGUACUGACGCUGAGAUACGAAAGCGUGGGGAGCAAACAGGAUUAGAUACCCUGGUAGUCCACGCCGUAAACGAUGGGUGCUAGCCGUCGGAGAGCUUGCUCUUCGGUGGCGCAGCUACGUACUUAGUCACCCGCCGUCGGGUAGGUACGAGUCGCGAGAAGUUAAAACGUUAAAGGUAAAGUUAGUACGGCGUGAGUAACGUGCCGACGGACGACGACGAGGGAGUUAGG
rnacentral:rRNA from 1 species